rnacentral:rRNA from 1 species
AACGAACGUUGGCGGCGUGGAUUAGGCAUGCAAGUCGAACGCGAAUCCCUGGGCAACUGGGGAGGAGAGUGGCGAAAGGGGCAGUAAGGCGUGGGUAACCUACCCUCCGGGCCGGGAUAGCUUCGGGAAACUGAAGGUAAUACCGGGCGACGCAGCGAGAUCGCAUGGUCUUGCUGCCAAAGGUCCGCCGCCGGGGGAGGGGCUCACGUGGUAUUAGCUAGACGGCGGGGUAACGGCCCACCGUGGCAAAGAUGCCGAGCAGGUGGGCGAGCACGACCUGCGCCACUGGCACUGAGACACUGGCCAGACACCUACGGGUGGCUGCAGGGGAGGAUCUUUGGCAAUGGGCGCAAGCCUGACCGAGCGACGCCGCGUGUGCGAUGAAGGCCUUCGGGUUGUAAAGCACUGUCGAGGGGGAGGAAGCCGCAAGGUGGACCUAUCCCUGGAGGAAGCACGGGCUAAGUUCGUG